AAAAAGGGCUUCUGUAGUGAGUGGCACACAUAGGGCACCUCAGUUGCUCUUCAUGCAGAAUCGACAUCAAGAGAUUUCAGAAGCAUAAUUUUUGUCACCAGGGCAGCUGGUGAUCAUUGGUCCUGGUGUGAAA